rnacentral:rRNA from 1 species
CCAGUCACGAUAUACAUGCAAGUCGUACGUGAAAGCAGCAAUACGAGUAAAGUGGCGCACGGGUGAGUAAUAAUUGGAUAAUGCGCCUCCUCGCUGGGGAUAACCAGGCGAAAGCUUGGCUAAUACCGAAUAGUCCGGUCGAAACUUCGGUUUUGAUCGGUAAAGCCGUAAGGCGCGGGGAGAGUAGUCCAAUUCCCAUUAGCUAGUUGGUAGGGUAACGGCCUACCAAGGCUACGAUGGGUAGCUGGUCUGAGAGGACGAUCAGCCACACUGGAACUGGAACACGGUCCAGACUCCUACGGGAGGCAGCAGUUAGGAAUCUUGCGCAAUGGGGGAAACCCUGACGCAGCAACGCCGCGUGAAGGAUGAAGGCCUUCGGGUUGUAAACUUCUUUUAGCAGGAAAGAACACAAUGACGGUACCUGCAGAAAAAGCACCGGCUAACUCUGUGCCAGCAGCCGCGGUAAUACAGAGGGUGCAAGCGUUAUUCGGAUUUACUGGGCAUAAAGAGCGCGUAGGCGGUUUAAUAAGUCUGAUGUGAAAUCCCUGGACCUAAUCCAGGAAGUGCAUCGGAUACUGUUAGACUCGAGUACAGGAGGGGAGAGCGGAAUUCCUGGUGUAGAGGUGAAAUUCGUAGAUAUCAGGAGGAACAACAGUGGCGAAGGCGGCUCUCUGGACUGUUACUGACGCUGAGGCGCGAAAGCGUGGGGAGCAAACAGGAUUAGAUACCCUGGUAGUCCACGCCGUAAACGAUGGAUGCUAGAUGUCGGAAGGUCUUACCCUUUCGGUGUCGUCGCAAAUGCAUUAAGCAUCCCGCCUGAGGAGUACGGUCGCAAGAUUAAGACUCAAAGAAAUUGACGGGGGCCCGCACAAGCGGUGGAGUAUCGUGACUG